rnacentral:rRNA from 1 species
AGCGUCUGGAAAGGCGCGCGAUACAGGGUGACAGCCCCGUACACAAAAAUGCACAUACUGUGAGCUCGAUGAGUAGGGCGGGACACGUGGUAUCCUGUCUGAAUAUGGGGGGACCAUCCUCCAAGGCUAAAUACUCGUGAUCGACCGAUAGUGAACCAGUACCGUGAGGGAAAGGCGAAAAGAACCCCGGCGAGGGGAGUGAAAAAGAACCUGAAACCGUGUACGUACAAGCAGUGGGAGCCUCUUAAUGGGGUGACUGCGUACCUUUUGUAUAAUGGGUCAGCGACUUAUAUUCUGUAGCAAGGUUAACCGAAUAGGGGAGCCGAAGGGAAACCGAGUCUUAACUGGGCGUUAAGUUGCAGGGUAUAGACCCGAAACCCGGUGAUCUAGCCAUGGGCAGGUUGAAGGUUGGGUAACACUAACUGGAGGACCGAACCGACUAAUGUUGAAAAAUUAGCGGAUGACUUGUGGCUGGGGGUGAAAGGCCAAUCAAACCGGGAGAUAGCUGGUUCUCCCCGAAAGCUAUUUAGGUAGCGCCUCGUGAAUUCAUCUCCGGGGGUAGAGCACUGUUUCGGCAAGGGGGUCAUCCCGACUUACCAACCCGAUGCAAACUGCGAAUACCGGAGAAUGUUAUCACGGGAGACACACGGCGGGUGCUAACGUCCGUCGUGAAGAGGGAAACAACCCAGACCGCCAGCUAAGGUCCCAAAGUCAUGGUUAAGUGGGAAACGAUGUGGGAAGGCCCAGACAGCCAGGAUGUUGGCUUAGAAGCAGCCAUCAUUUAAAGAAAGCGUAAUAGCUCACUGGUCGAGUCGGCCUGCGCGGAAGAUGUAACGGGGCUAAACCAUGCACCGAAGCUGCGGCAGCGACACUAUGUGUUGUUGGGUAGGGGAGCGUUCUGUAAGCCUGUGAAGGUGUACUGUGAGGUAUGCUGGAGGUAUCAGAAGUGCGAAUGCUGACAUAAGUAACGAUAAAGCGGGUGAAAAGCCCGCUCGCCGGAAGACCAAGGGUUCCUGUCCAACGUUAAUCGGGGCAGGGUGAGUCGACCCCUAAGGCGAGGCCGAAAGGCGUAGUCGAUGGGAAACAGGUUAAUAUUCCUGUACUUGGUGUUACUGCGAAGGGGGGACGGAGAAGGCUAUGUUGGCCGGGCGACGGUUGUCCCGGUUUAAGCGUGUAGGCUGGUUUUCCAGGCAAAUCCGGAAAAUCAAGGCUGAGGCGUGAUGACGAGGCACUACGGUGCUGAAGCGACAAAUGCCCUGCUUCCAGGAAAAGCCUCUAAGCAUCAGGUAACAUCAAAUCGUACCCCAAACCGACACAGGUGGUCAGGUAGAGAAUACCAAGGCGCUUGAGAGAACUCGGGUGAAGGAACUAGGCAAAAUGGUGCCGUAACUUCGGGAGAAGGCACGCUGAUAUGUAGGUGAAGCGACUUGCUCGUGGAGCUGAAAUCAGUCGAAGAUACCAGCUGGCUGCAACUGUUUAUUAAAAACACAGCACUGUGCAAACACGAAAGUGGACGUAUACGGUGUGACGCCUGCCCGGUGCCGGAAGGUUAAUUGAUGGGGUUAGCGGUAACGCGAAGCUCUUGAUCGAAGCCCCGGUAAACGGCGGCCGUAACUAUAACGGUCCUAAGGUAGCGAAAUUCCUUGUCGGGUAAGUUCCGACCUGCACGAAUGGCGUAAUGAUGGCCAGGCUGUCUCCACCCGAGACUCAGUGAAAUUGAACUCGCUGUGAAGAUGCAGUGUACCCGCGGCAAGACGGAAAGACCCCGUGAACCUUUACUAUAGCUUGACACUGAACAUUGAGCCUUGAUGUGUAGGAUAGGUGGGAGGCUUUGAAGUGUGGACGCCAGUCUGCAUGGAGCCGACCUUGAAAUACCACCCUUUAAUGUUUGAUGUUCUAACGUGGGCCCCUUACCGGGGU